ensembl:lncRNA
CUUUAAACACCCACACACCUUUUGCUCUACUUGCACUCUGUGCGUGGUUUCAAGGAAAUAAGAUCUUUUGCUUGAAGACUUCAUCUGCUCCUGCUUGCCACAGCUCAGAAGCCAAUAAUCCUCUCCGUGAUAUCAGGCAUGCUUGCCUGAUACCAUGCCAAGGACAGCGCAUGAGAUUCUUGGGCAUGUGGAAUAGGAACAACAGAUGAGAAACCGCAACAGAUGCAAGAGCCUCGUCUCAACCACAUCCUUCCCUGUGCAUACUACCCCUGUGGGGAGAGCACCCAUUUAGGAAGCUGGG